AUUGAACGCUGGCGGCAGGCCUAACACAUGCAAGUCGAGCGAGUGGCGGACGGGUGAGUAAUGUAUGGGGAUCUGCCUGAUAGAGGGGGAUAACUACUGGAAACGGUGGCUAAUACCGCAUACUAUCGGAUGAACCCAGAUGGGAUUAGCUAGUAGGUGGGGUAACGGCUCACCUAGGCGACGAUCUCUAGCUGGUCUGAGAGGAUGACCAGCCACACGGGAACUGAGACACGGCCCAGACUCCUACGGGAGGCAGCAGUAGGGAAUAUUCGUCAAUGGGCGAAAGUCUGACCGAGCAACGCCGCGUGAGUGAAGAAGGUUUUCGGGUCGUAAAGCUCUUUUGGUAGAGAGGCGGUAUCUGAACAAGAAGCCCCGGCUAACUCCGUGCCAGCCGCCGCGGUAAUAC
rnacentral:rRNA from 1 species